rnacentral:rRNA from 1 species
AGUGAACGCUGGCGGUAGGCCUAACACAUGCAAGUCGAACGGCAGCACAGUAAGAGCUUGCUCUUACGGGUGGCGAGUGGCGGACGGGUGAGGAAUACAUCGGAAUCUACUUUUUCGUGGGGGAUAACGUAGGGAAACUUACGCUAAUACCGCAUACGACCUACGGGUGAAAGCAGGGGAUCUUCGGACCUUGCGCGAUUGAAUGAGCCGAUGUCGGAUUAGCUAGUUGGCGGGGUAAAGGCCCACCAAGGCGACGAUCCGUAGCUGGUCUGAGAGGAUGAUCAGCCACACUGGAACUGAGACACGGUCCAGACUCCUACGGGAGGCAGCAGUGGGGAAUAUUGGACAAUGGGAGGAAGCCUGAUCCAGCCAUACCGCGUGGGUGAAGAAGGCCUUCGGGUUGUAAAGCCCUUUUGUUGGGAAAGAAAAGAAGCAGGUGAAAAGCCCGCUGUUUUGACGGUACCCAAAGAAUAAGCACCGGCUAACUUCGUG